UUAGUCUCGUUGAAUCUCUUCCACUAAGCAUGAAAGUAAUAUUUGAUACAAUUGUAGAACUCUCUAAAGAAAUAGAGGUUCUAACUGCUCAGAGUGGAAAAUCAAGCCUCGCAGUGUCACAUUUUAAACGAGCUAUUUGUAACUUAGCAAAAGCUUAUAUGGUUGAAGCAAAAUGGUGCCAUGAGGGUUACAUUCCA